rnacentral:tRNA from 1 species
CGCAGGGUAGUAAAAUUUAUUAUACCAUUUUGAUAGAGUGGAGUUGACAUUCGUUUCUUGCAA